GGAGGGGGCCAGCGUUGUUCGGAAUCAUUGGGCGUAAAGGGCGCGUAGGCGGCUUGGUAAGUCGGACGUGAAAUCCCCCAGCUUAACUGGGGAACUGCAUCCGAUACUGCCAGGCUUGAGUCCCGGAGAGGGCAGUGGAAUUCCCAGUGUAGCGGUGAAAUGCGUAGAUAUUGGGAGGAACACCGGUGGCGAAGGCGGCUGCCUGGACGGGUACUGACGCUGAGGCGCGAAAGCGUGGGGAGCAAACAGGAUUAGAUACCCUGGUAGUCCACGCUGUAAACGAUGGGCACUUGGUGUUGCGGGUAUCGACCCCUGCAGUGCCGAAGCUAACGCAUUAAGUGCCCCGCCUGGGGAGUACGGUCGCAAGGCUG
rnacentral:rRNA from 1 species